rnacentral:lncRNA from 1 species
UUGCCUAAUUCUGUUGACAGAAACUGCUUUCAAUAUGACUGUUGAAAUUUAAAGCUGCUAUAUGAAGGGAUCCACAAGACGAAUAAUUAAGGGGGACCUCUGAUCAACAGCCAGCAAGGAACUGAAUCCCUCAGACCCACAACUCACAAGAAACUGAAGCUGAAGCAGAUUCUUCCUCAGUCAAGCUUCAGCCACAUCAGGAAGCAGUAAGUGGCAGGGCCAUCUCAAGGAAGAGCCACCAGUCUCCAGGGAGUUUAGGUCUUAGAUGUGAAGCCUCAAGUAAUUUGCAGAGAUUGUCUUGCCUGUAUAACACACCCUGUUGUUGCUUUUAUACAGCCAAACUGACAGGGGUUUGUGAAUCAGAAUGAUGGCUUUGCAUUUUAGCUUAGGGAAGGACCUGCUUUGCAGAAAGGAUCUCAUUGAGAAUAGCAAAAGGAAGUUGGGAACCAUUACAGUGCCCAGCUGUAUUGGUAGAGGAGACCAACCACACCCUCCACAGCACAGCACCUGGAGAGGAACUGCUGCCAUGACCAUAGAGGACACCCUCUGGAUACAAUGCCAGACUUGAUGUGGGACUGACCAACCUAUGGACCCCAGGCACCACCACCCAGACCUGCUCAGCACCUGAAACAUUCACAGCCGUGGAGAGAGAACUGUUCACUGCUACCAUCCACACUUCUGGGCCCCUUCAGCAGCAGGGUGACAAGGAAGAGGGAAAUCGACUUGGAAAAGAGGGGACCUCUGACCCAAGAGUUCGGUCAAUGCAUAUGUUGGCAGCCAGCUGCACAUCGCACCAAAUAUGAACUUCAAAUAGAAGAAAGCCUCAUUUGGAAGAAAGCUCAUGCACAGACUGUAAAUAUUUCAGAGCAGAUUGUGUCUCUGUAGAUUAAGUAAGUUGUGAAAGUCUGAACCUCUGCCAAAAUUUUAAGACCUUGACCUUUACAUCUCUGAGUUUCUAUCUGUCAUUUUUCCUUUCUAUCUGUCAUUUUACCUUUCAUACUUAUAAAAUGGAAUUCAUAAUCUUCUCAGCCUACCAAGUGUUAGUGUUCUAGGGAUUCAGAUAAAAUAUGUAUGAAAUUACUUUGAAUUACCUAAAACAUGACAUUUAUUCAUUCAACAAGUAUUUGUUGAACAUAUACGUCCUUCCUGGUGCUGUGUCAGGUGCUGGUGAAUAUAGCUGUGGUCAUGGCAGACUUUACCUCUGCUUUCAUAACUGUAACAUGAAAGUGUUGCUACCACAGUCAUGUUAUUAGAACGACUACUUUAACAUCGACUACUAAUAUAAAAUUUGUAGAUGUUUAAAUGAAAUCAUUAUUUGUGUAACCAUUAAUAUCCUGUGUAAUGUUAUAAUAUUUGGGGCACCUUUGUAAUUGUUAAAUGAUUUAUUUCAUUCCCAGGUGAGUUUGUAGAAAAUAAUACAAUCACUCUCAAUUCCAUUAGUGUUUUUACUUUCAGUUUGAUUCACAUUGCUCAUCCCAGUCUGACGUAAGUCAUCACCUACAAGAACCAGACAAGGAAAAACAGAACAAACUUGAAAGAAAUCAGCUAUCAUAUCUCUAUAAAUGUAUUCUGCCUCUAUUUUUCAUUUUCUUUUAGUAAAGUACUUUAUAAGAAAAACAAUGAAGGGCAGGGAAUUAGAAUCUACUCAAGCAUCUGCUGUAUUCUAGACAUUUUAUGUCCAUCGUCUCCUUCACACACCUUGGCACUCC